UACGUAGGAGGCGAGCGUUGUCCGGAAUCACUGGGCGUAAAGCGCGUGUAGGCGGAUGACUAAGUUUGCUGUGAAAGCGCCUGGCUUAACCGGGCGAGGUCGGCGAAAACUAGUCGUCUGGAGGCCGGUAGAGGGGGGUGGAAUUCCGGGUGUAGUGGUGAAAUGCGUAGAGAUCCGGAGGAACACCCGUGGCGCAGGCGGCCCCCUGGACCGAUACUGACGCUGAGGAGCGAAAGCCAGGGGAGCAAACGGG
rnacentral:rRNA from 1 species